rnacentral:rRNA from 1 species
GAUUGAUCCUGCCGGACCUGACUGCUAUCGGAUUGGUACUAAGCCAUGCGAGUCGUUGUAGCAAUACAAGGCGGACUGCUCAGUAACACGUAGUUAACUUAACCUAUGGAUGGGCAUAACCUCGGGAAACUGAGAAUAAUACCCAAUGGACCACAGUGCCUGGAAUGGCCUGUGGUUAAACUGAUUUAUCGCCGUAGGAUAGGACUGCGGCCUAUCAGCUUGUUGGUGAGGUAAUGGCCCACCAAGGCUAUAACAGGUACGGGCUCUGAGAGGAGGGGCCCGGAGAUGGGUACUGAGACACGGACCCAGGCCCUAUGGGGCGCAGCAGGCGAGAAACCUUUGCAAUGUGCGAAAGCACGACAAGGUUAAUCCGAGUGUCUCCUGCUAAAGGAGUCUUUUGUCAGUUGUAGAAUCACUGGUGAAUAAGGGGUGGGCAAGUUCUGGUGUCAGCCGCCGCGGUAAAACCAGCNACUCGAGUGGUCAGGAGGUUUAUUGGGCCUAAAGCAUCCGUAGCCGGUUGCAUAAGUUUUCGGUUAAAUCUAUGCGCUUAACGUAUA